rfam:Chlorocebus sabaeus isolate 1994-021 chromosome 7, whole genome shotgun sequence.
GUUAAGGUGGCAGAACCUGGUAAUUGCAUAAAACUUAAAACUUUAUAAUCAGAGGUUCAAUUGAUCUUCCUAACA